UACGGGGGGGGGCAAGCGUUGUUCGGAAUUACUGGGCGUAAAGGGCUCGUAGGUGGCCAACUAAGUCAGACGUGAAAUCCCUCGGCUUAACCGGGGAACUGCGUCUGAUACUGGAUGGCUUGAGUUCGGGAGAGGGAUGCGGAAUUCCAGGUGUAGCGGUGAAAUGCGUAGAUAUCUGGAGGAACACCGGUGGCGAAGGCGGCAUCCUGGACCGAUACUGACGCUGAGAAGCGAAAGCAUGGGGAGCGAACAGG
rnacentral:rRNA from 1 species